CUUGAUUGCAAGAGAGUGGUCCAUGCGGUACUCUCGGGAGUAUUUGGAAGCGGUCAUCCUGAAGGCGGAGGGAGGGGCUUUACGCGUUGUGAACUGCAGCAGAAAGACGUAAUUUCAUACUCCGUGAAGAGAUACCCUGAAUGUGGCUGUGAUGCAGCCACUAUCGACUUUAUUUGCACGCAUAAACCAAAAUGAGCCAAGCAGAACCCCAGCUCAAGCUUUCGACUCCUCCCUCUGGCUGUGCAGAGCACUCAGACAGCUAUUGAAUGACCCAUCAGGAGUUCUUUCAAAAUGAAGUGUAAAUCUAUCCUGCAGAUGGUAUGGACUUCCUCCAGAGCCCCAGGAGGCUGCAUUGUGAUUCUCCAGCUGGGCCUUCAGAAUACGAUUCCUACUCAACUUGUGUGAAACUUAUAGGAUUUAAGAUAUAAUAUUGUAUGUUAAGUAGUUGAAAAAGAAGUCACAGUGGCCAGUGUGAACUUGCAUGUUAGUUGUUUUGAAACAUCUGCUGCAGGACUGCUAGUGUUACUUUAGAUUAGAAAUUUGACAAUGCACCUCACUGGGACAGGAAAAGCAAAUGAUAGAGACAAGACCUCCUGGGACAUAACCAUUACACUCAAGGACAGAAUCCUGGAAAAGAAACCACUGGGACUUCGUAGGUGGCGCAGUGGUUAACAAUCCACCUGCCAAUGCAGGGGACAUGGGUUUGAUCCCUGUUCCAGGAAGAUCCCACAUGCUACAGAGCAACUAAGCCCAUAAGCCACAGCUAUUGAGCCCAUGUGCCGAAGCUACUGAAGCCCUCACACCUUGAGCCCAUGCUCCACAACAAGAGACGCCACCUCAAUGAGAAGCCUGCACACCACAACAAAGAGUAACCCCCAUUCGCCGCAACUAGAGAAAGCCCAUGUGCAGCAACGAAGACCCAACGCAGCUGAAUAAAUAAAUAAAUAAAUUUAUUUUUAAAAAAAGAAAGAAAGAAACCACUGGAUAUCCCUGGCAAUCCAGCAGUUAAGACUCUGCACUUCCAAUGCAGUUCCCUGAUCCCUGGUCAGGGAACUAAGAUCCCACAUGCCUCUCGGUAUGGUAAAAAAUAAAAGAAAGAAAGAGAGGAAGGAAGGAAGGAAGGAA